GGGAAUGGGCCUACUGACAUACACAUGGAAACAGGAAGGAAUGGGCCUACUGACAUACACAUGGAAAUAGCGAAUGGGCCUACUGACAUACACGUAGAAAUAGUGGGGAGGCCCUACUGACAUGAACGUGGAAAUAUUGGGGUGGGCCUACUGACAUACACGUAGAAAUAGGGGGUGGGCCUACUGACAUACACAUGGAAAUAGGGAAUUGGCCUACUGACAUACACGUGGAAAUAGUGGGCGGCCCUACUGGUAUACAAGUAGAAAUAGUGGGUUGGGCCUACUGACAUACAUUGUACACGUGGAAAUAUGGGGUGGGCCUACUGACAUACACAUGGAAAUAGGGGGAUGGUGGUCAACACACUGAUAUACAUGACACGUGCAAAUAGAGGGUUGCGCCAACCUACUGACAUACACACGUGCAUUAUGGCGGUCAACACAGUAACACACGAAUUAAUCA